rfam:Ictidomys tridecemlineatus contig067743, whole genome shotgun sequence.
GGGGUUGUGGCUCAGUGGUAGAGCGCUUACCUAGCACAUGGGAGGCCCUGGGUUCGAUCCUCAGCACCA